GUAUGAAAGGCCACACAAGGGCUUACUUGUCUUUUAUUUUCAAUCUGUCAAAUUGACCUUCCCUAGCAGAGGCGGGAAGGAGACACUUAGAUGAGAAGAGCAGACGGUACUUUGAUUCAAUGACCCAAAGAGAUUUUGAUAAUCAACAGCCAGCGAUCACAUACCUUUACCAAGGGCAGACAAUUUAGGUUGGGGUGACCUCGGAGAAUAAAACAACCUCCGAGUGAUUUAAAUCUAGACCAACUAGUGGAAAGUACUACAUCACUCAUUGAUCCAAAAACUUGAUCAACGGAACAAGUUACCCUAGGGAUAACAGCGCAAUCCUAUUUUAGAGUCCAUAUCGACAAUAGGGUUUACGACCUCCAUGUUGGA
rnacentral:rRNA from 1 species